UACAGAGGGUGCAAGCGUUAAUCGGAAUUACUGGGCGUAAAGCGUGCGUAGACGGUUAUGUAAGUCGGGUGUGAAAGCCCCGGGCUCAACCUGGGAAUUGCAUUCGAGACUGUGUAGCUAGGGUACGGAAGAGGGAAGCGGAAUUUCAGGUGUAGCGGUGAAAUGCGUAGAUAUCUGAAGGAACACCAGUGGCGAAAGCGGCUUCCUGGACCAAUUCUGACGCUGAGGAGCGAAAGCCAGGGGAGCAAACGGG
rnacentral:rRNA from 1 species